rnacentral:misc_RNA from 1 species
GAUGAAGAACGUAGCGAAAUGCGAUAAGUAGUGUGAAUUGCAGACUUUAGUGAAUCAUCGAAUCUUUGAACGCACAUUGCGCCACUUGGUAAUCCAUUGGGCAUGCCUGUUCGAGCGUCAUUUACACCCUCAAGCUCCGCUUGGUGUUGGGCGUCUGUCCUUGCUACACGCAAAGACUCGCCUUAAAUUCAUUGGCAGUGGCACCGUCGGCUUCUCGCGCAGCACAUUGCGCUAUAGAAGGCUACCGGCAGUCCAGCUACCAUUAAGAAACUACCCAGUUUGACCUCGAAUCAGGUAGGGAUACCCGCUGAACUUAAGCAUAUCAAUAAGCGGAGGA